rnacentral:rRNA from 1 species
CCUACGGGGGGCAGCAGUGAGGAAUAUUGGUCAAUGGACGAGAGUCUGAACCAGCCAAGUAGCGUGAAGGAUGACUGCCCUAUGGGUUGUAAACUUCUUUUAUAAAGGAAUAAAACGAGGCACGUGUGCCUUUUUGCAUGUACUUUAUGAAUAAGGAUCGGCUAACUCCGUGCCAGCAGCCGCGGUAAUACGGAGGAUCCGAGCGUUAUCCGGAUUUAUUGGGUUUAAGGGGAGCGUAGAUGGGUUGUUAAGUCAGUUGUGAAAGUUUGCGGCUCAACCGUAAAAUUGCAAUUGAUACUGGCAGUCGUGAGUACAGUUGAGGUAGGCGGAAUGCGUGGUGUAGCGGUGAAAUGCUUAGAUAUCACGAAGAACCCCGAUUGCGAAGGCAGCUUACUAAACUGUGACUGACAUUGAUGCUCGAAAGUGUGGGUAUCAAACAGGAUUAGAUACCCGUGUAGUC